rnacentral:rRNA from 1 species
CCUACGGGAGACAGCAGUGAGGAAUAUUGGUCAAUGGCCGUAAGGCUGAACCAGCCAAGUAGCGUGAGGGAAGACUGCCCUAUGGGUUGUAAACCUCUUUUAUGCGGGGGUAAAGGUGUCCACGUGUGGAUGUUUGCAGGUACCGCAUGAAUAAGGACCGGCUAAUUCCGUGCCAGCAGCCGCGGUAAUACGGAAGGUCCGGGCGUUAUCCGGAUUUAUUGGGUUUAAAGGGUGCGUAGGCCGGUCUUUAAGCGUGCCGUGAAAUUUUGUGGCUCAACCAUGAGAGUGCGGCGCGAACUGGAGACCUUGAGUGCGCGGAAGGCAGGCGGAAUUCGUGGUGUAGCGGUGAAAUGCUUAGAUAUCACGAAGAACGCCGAUUGCGAAGGCAGCAUGCCGGAGCGUUACUGACGCUGAAGCUCGAAAGCGCGGGUAUCGAACAGGAUUAGAUACCCCAGUAGUC